rnacentral:rRNA from 1 species
GAUUGGACUACCAUGGCAGUAACGGGUAACGAAGAAUUAGGGUUCGAUUUCGGAGAGGGAGCAUGAGAAACGGCUACCACAUCUAAGGAAGGCAGCAGGCGCGUAAUUACCCAAUCCUGACUCAGGGAGGUAGUGACAAGAAAUAGCAAACCGGGAACCUCAUGGUUUCACGGUAUUGCAAUGAGAACAAUUUAAAACCCUUAGCGAGAAUCAAGUGGAGGACAAGUCUGGUGCCAGCACCCGCGGUAAUUCCAGCUCCACUAGCGUAUAUUAAAGUUGUUGCAGUUAAAAAGCUCGUAGUUGAACCUCUGUCUGGGGCUAGUUUUGGCUUUGGUCAGGCUAGUUCUAGGCAUCCGCCUACAAGACUUAGAGGGCAUUCAGUUGUUCACUAGGAGGAGUAGGCAUUUUACUUUGAAAAAAUUAGAGUGUUUAAGGCAGGCAAUCGCCCGCAUAUAUUAGCAUGGAAUAAUAGAAUAGGACACUUUUCCAUUUCGUUGGUUAUUGGAAUCGUGUAAUGAUUAAUAGGGACAGUUGUGGGCAUUUGUAUUUAAUUGUCAGAGGUGAAAUUCUUGGAUUUAUUAAAGACAAACUAACGCGAAAGCAUUUGCCAAGGAUGUUUUCAUUAAUCAAGAACGAAAGUUAGGGGAUCAAAGACGAUCAGAUACCGUCCUAGUCUUAACUAUAAACUAUUCCGACUCAAUGUUUGACUGGCUUAUAUAACCAGUUGAGCGUUGUAUGAGAAAUCAAAGUCUUUAGGUUCUGGGGGGAGUGUGGUUGCAAAGCUGAAACUUAAAGGAAUUGACGGAAGAGCACAACCAGGAGUGGAUUCUGCGGCUUAAUUUGACUCAACACGGGGAAACUUACCAGGUUAAAACAAUAGUGGGAUUGACAGUUUGAGAGCGCUUUCUUGAUUGGUUGGGUGGUGGUGCAUGGCCGUUCUUAGUUGGUGGAGUGAUUUGUCUGCUUAAUUGCGUUAACGAACGAGACCUUAACCUGCUUACUAGACUGGCGAUCAUCAAUCGUUAGCUCUUCUUAGAGGGACUUUGGUUGUUUUAACUCCAAGGAAGUUUGAGGCAAUAACAGGUCUGUGAUGCCCUUAGAUAUCCUGGGCCGCACGCGUCAUACAAUGACUAGUUCAGAAAGUUUUCUCCUGACCCGAAAGGGGAUGGGUAAUCUUGAUAAUACUAGUCGUGUUAGGGAUCGAUCUUUGCAAUUAUAGAUCUUGAACGAGGAAUUCCUAGUAAGUGCGGUUCAUCAGACCGUACUGAUUACGUCCCUGCUCUUUGUACACACCGCCCGUCGCUUCUACCGAGUGGGUGGUCCGGUGAGAUAAUUGAACUUCGCAGGUAACUGAGAGGAAAGAUUAUCAAACCUAUCCACCUCGAGGAAGAAGAAGUCGUAACAAGGUU